rnacentral:rRNA from 1 species
CACCGGCGAACGGGUGCGUAACACGUACACAACGUACCUUCAGGAGGGGGAUAGCGGCUGGAAACGGCCGGUAAUACCCCAUAAAAUUGGUUGAUGGCAUCAUUGGUCAAUUAAAGUUUCGACGCCUGAAGAUCGGUGUGCGCCUGAUUAGCUAGUUGGUAGGGUAACGGCCUACCAAGGCAACGAUCAGUAGGGGGUGUGAGAGCAUGACCCCCCACACGGGUACUGAGACACGGACCCGACUCCUACGGGAGGCAGCAGUAAGGAAUAUUGGACAAUGGACGGAAGUCUGAUCCAGCCAUGCCGCGUGAAGGAAGAAGGCGCUCAGCGUUGUAAACUUCUUUUGGAUGGGAACAAUAACUUCUACGUGUAGGAGCUUGAGGGUACCAUCAGAAUAAGCACCGGCUAACUCCGUGCCAGCAGCCGCGGUAAUACGGAGGGUGCAAGCGUUAUCCGGAAUCACUGGGUUUAAAGGGUGCGUAGGCGGUGGCGUAAGUCAGUUGUGAAAUUCCCCGGCUUAACCGGCGGGACUGCAAUUGAUACUGCGUCACUUGAAUCAGGAUGAGGUAGGCGGAAUGUGGCAUGUAGCGGUGAAAUGCUUAGAUAUGCCAUAGAACACCGAUUGCGAAGGCAGCUUACUGGACCUGUAUUGACGCUGAGGCACGAAAGUGUGGGGAGCAAACAGGAUUAGAUACCCUGG